CUCCUCUCAGGGUCGCACCUGGAGAGUUUCCAGUACUCUACCAGUCUUGGCUUCAGGAGGGAGAGUCAAGUCUGGGCCUAUCCAUUCCAUUCCUAGCUUGGCCAGUGGAUAGCGAGUGGAAGGCAAUCUGCUACAAGU